UCUUCGGAUUUAGUGGCAGACGGGUGAGUAACGCGUGGGAACCUGCCCAGUAGUAGAGAAUAACUUGAGGAAACUUAAGCUAAUACUUUAUACACCCUUCGGGGAAAAGCUUUAUGCGCUAUUGGAUGGGCCCGCGUUAGAUUAGUUUGUUGGUGAGGUAAUGGCUCACCAAGACUACGAUCUAUAGCUGGUCUGAGAGGAUGAUCAGCCACACUGGGACUGAGACACGGCCCAGACUCCUACGGGAGGCAGCAGUGGGGAAUAUUGGACAAUGGGGGCAACCCUGAUCCAGCGAUGCCGCGUGAGUGAUGAAGGCCUUCGGGUUGUAAAACUCUUCCGUCAGGGAAGAUAAUGACGGUACCUGAAGAAGAAGAUCCGGCUAACUCCGUGCCAGCAGCCGCGGUAAUACGGAGGGAUCUAGCGUUAUUCGGAAUUACUGGGCGUAAAGCGAGCGUAGGCGGAUUUGUAAGUUGGAGGUGAAAUCCCAGAGCUUAACUCUGGAACUGCCUUCAAAACUACAUUUCUUGAGUUUGGUAGAGGAGAGUGGAAUUCCUAGUGUAGAGGUGAAAUUCGUAGAUAUUAGGAGGAACACCAGUGGCGAAGGCGACUCUCUGGGCCAAUACUGACGCUGAGGUUCGAAAGCAUGGGUAGCGAACAGGAUUAGAUACCCUGGUAGUCCAUGCAGUAAACGAUGAGUGCUAGAUGUUGGGAAUAUAAAUUUCCAGUAUCGUAGUUAACGCGUUAAGCACUCCGCCUGGGAAGUACGGCCGCAAGGCUAAAACUCAAAUGAAUUGACGGGGACCCGCACAAGCGGUGGAUCAUGUGGUUUAAUUCGAAGAUACGCGAAGAACCUUACCGGCCCUUGACAUACCAAUCGCGGAC
rnacentral:rRNA from 1 species